rnacentral:rRNA from 1 species
AAAGUGGAGCAAUCCAUGAGUACAGUGGCGUACGGGUGAGUAACACGUGGAUCAUCUACCUUUUAGUGGGGAAUACCCCCGGGAAACUGGGGACAAUACCGCAUAAGCCCGCAAGGGGAAAGCAGCAAUGCGCUGAAAGAGGAGUCCGCGGCUGAUUAUGCUAGUUGGCGGGGUAAUGGCCCACCAAGGCGAAGAUCGGUAGCCGGCCUGAGAGGGCACACGGCCACACUGGCACUGAAACACGGGCCAGACUCCUACGGGAGGCAGCAGUGGGGAAUCUUGCACAAUGGGGGAAACCCUGAUGCAGCGACGCCGCGUGAGCGAUGAAGCCCUUCGGGGUGUAAAGCUCUUUCGACGGGAACGAUAAUGACGGUACCCGAAGAAGAAGCUGCGGCUAACUACGUGCCAGCAGCCGCGGUAAUACGUAGGCAGCAAGCGUUGUUCGGAAUUACUGGGCGUAAAGAGUGUGUAGGCGGUGUUCUAAGUUUGGUGUGAAAUCUCCCGGCUCAACUGGGAGGGUGCGCCGAAAACUGGAAUGCUAGAGUAUGGGAGAGGUAAGCGGAAUUCCUGGUGUAGCGGUGAAAUGCGUAGAUAUCAGGAGGAACACCUGUGGUGUAGACAGCUUACUGGACCAUCACUGACGCUGAGACACGAAAGCGUGGGUAGCAAACAGGAUUAGAUACCCUGGUAGUCCACGCCCUAAACGAUGCAUACUUGGUGUGAGCGAUUCAUUUCGUUCGUGCCGGAGCUAACGCGUUAAGUAUGCCGCCUGGGGAGUACGGUCGCAAGGCUGAAACUC